rfam:Gossypium hirsutum cultivar TM-1 chromosome 1, whole genome shotgun sequence
AACCCAUGGUGAGGGCACCUUCUCAAUAAAUCCUUGUACCUUUCCCAUGCAUCAUAUGGUGUUUCUAAAUCCAUCUACACAAAAGAAGAGAUAUCAUUACUCAAUUU